UUCCUGCUAGUCUGAUGUUGUUUGAUGGCGGUGCUUGCAAGACUAAUAUAUCUACCUCUGCUAGAAACUGUGCUUGAACUCCUUACUUGAUUUGAUUUAUAUACUUUUAACUAUGAUGUACGUGACACUGAAGCCUGUGCUAGACUGUGCUUGAACUCCUUGACUUAAUUUAUACUUUUAACUAUGAUGUAUGUGACAGUGAAGUUAAAACCUUUUAUAUGUGGUGCAGUCAACAUAUAUCCAUUUCAGUUAAUUGUAUUCCUGCUCUUUGUUUGUUUCAUUUUAGAUUACAAGUGAUGACAAUGUUAGCUUCAACUAUGUUUUAAGUAUGUUAUGAGCUGUUCUGUACUGACUAGCUUGUUCAUUUUUGCUAGCCGGGUCUGUGCUGCAGGCAGUGCUUCCGCAGCAACGCCAAGGACAUUGGCUUCAUCAAGUACCGUUGAAGACUCUUCAUGUUUGUGACUGAGAUCUGUACCUGCAUCAGAGGAAUGGAUCCUUCAUUCAAGCCUUAAUUUAUGUGCUUUAGUUUUUUUUGUUCAGAGUACUAUGCUAGUAAACUUGUUGAAGUUUUGGUGAGACCCAUGUGGUUGUUAAAGUGACUAUGUGAUCAAACUUGAAGUAAUUUCUGUAUUCGAUGACAUAACCCUGAUCCAACUUGG